ACAUUGUAGUGUUAUUAAAUUUUAUUGGUUUUAAAUAACUAUUUUUAAAAUUUAUUAUUUUUAUUUGUAGGUGAAAUUUAAAUGAAAAGUGAUUUUUUAUUAGUUAAUUUAUUUAGUUAAUUAAUAGACUAGGAUUAGAUACCCUAUUAUUUUAAUUAAAUCUUAAUACCAUAUGAUUAUUAGUUUUAAUCUUUAAAGUAAAAAUUUUGGCGGUACUUUAGUCUUGUCAGAGGAACCUGUUCUUUAAUUGAUAAUCCACGAUUUUAUUUACUUUAUUAAUAGCUUACAUAUCGUUGUAUAAAGUAUAUUAAAAGAUUAUUCUUUUUUUCAUGAUAAUGAUUAAAUUCAGAUCAAGGUGUAGUUUUAUAAAGUAGAAAUGGGUUACUUUUUAAUAAAGGAUCUAGGGUUAUAAACUUUAGUGAAAUAGGAUUUGAAAGUAAAUUUAUUAAAUUAAUUAUGUUGAUUUUAGCUCUAAAAU
rnacentral:rRNA from 1 species